CUACGGGAGGCUGCAGUGAGGAAUAUUGCACAAUGGGGGAAACCCUGAUGCAGCAACGCCGCGUGGAGGAUGACGCAUUUCGGUGUGUAAACUCCUUUUAUAUGUCAAGAAAAUGACGGUAGCAUAUGAAUAAGCACCGGCUAACUCCGUGCCAGCAGCCGCGGUAAUACGGAGGGUGCAAGCGUUACUCGGAAUCACUGGGCGUAAAGGACGCGUAGGCUGGUUGGUAAGUCAGGUGUGAAAUCCUACAGCUUAACUGUAGAACUGCACUUGAAACUACCAACCUAGAGUAUGGGAGGGGGAGAUGGAAUUAGUGGUGUAGGGGUAAAAUCCGUAGAUAUCACUAGGAAUACCGAAAGCGAAGGCGAUCUCCUGGAACAUAACUGACGCUAAGGCGUGAAAGCGUGGGGAGCAAACAGGAUUAGAUACCCCAGUAGUC
rnacentral:rRNA from 1 species